rnacentral:rRNA from 1 species
GUGAGGAAUUUUCCGCAAUGGGCGAAAGCCUGACGGAGCAAUGCCGCGUGAAGGAUGAAGGCCUAUGGGUUGUAAACUUCUUUUCUCAGAAAAGAAUUAUGACGGUAUCUGAGGAAUAAGCAUCGGCUAACUCUGUGCCAGCAGCCGCGGUAAGACAGAGGAUGCAAGCGUUAUCCGGAAUGAUUGGGCGUAAAGCGUCUGUAGGUUGUUUAAAAAGUAUUCUGUCAAAGAUUAGGGCUUAACCCUAGAUAGGCAGAAUAAACUUUUAAGCUAGAGUUUGGUAGAGGCAGAGGGAAUGCCCGGUGGAGCGGUGAAAUGCGUAGAUAUCGGGAGGAACACCAAAGGCGAAGGCACUCUGCUGGGCCAAUACUAACACUGAGAGACGAAAGCGAGGGGAGCAAAUGGGAUUAGAUACCCUGGUAGUCC